CAGAUUUGACAGCCGCUUUCUCGCGCAGAGCCUCGCGAGGUUCCUGUUUUAACGGUCGUCUUGUCUCCAGCCAGCUCUGAUUUUGAAAUCGUUCAUUCAGGACCUGGAGUCGGGCAGGAAGGAGGGAGUGAGAGGGAUAAUAUAGUGCUUGGCUGUUUCUAACUUGGGUGAAGAAAGAGAAAGAAAACUCCUUGGGAUUCUCCAUACACUGAGGAUUUAUCCGGAUAUUACGUUGUUGUGACAGAACUCUUCAAAGGGGAAUUCUGGGAGUUUUUUUAUUCUUUCGUUCCUUGAGGAUGAAGCAGCACAGUGGAACCCUACCUUAAAACUGCUCUUUCACUUCUCAGUCUGAGGUUAAAACAUGGAACAUAGAAGAAGGU